AUUGAACGCUGGCGGCAGGCCUAACACAUGCAAGUCGAACGAGUGGCGGACGGGUGAGUAAUGUCUGGGAAACUGACUGAUGGAGGGGGAUAACUACUGGAAACGGUCGCUAAUACGGCAUACCAUCGGAUGUGCCCAGAUGGGAUUAGCUAGUAGGUGGGGUAACGUCUCACCUAGGCGACGAUCCCUAGCUGGUCUGAGAGGAUGACCAGCCACACUGGAACUGAGACACGUUCCAGACUCCUACGUGAGGCAGCAGUGGGGAAUAUUGCACAAUUGGCGCAAGCCUGAUGCAGCCAUGCCGCGUGUAUGAAGAAGGCCUUCGGGUUGUAAAGUACUUUCAGCGGGGAGGCGUUACCCGCAGAAGAAGCACCGGCUAACUCCGUGCCAGCAGCCGCGGUAAUAC
rnacentral:rRNA from 1 species